rnacentral:rRNA from 1 species
UACGGGGGGAGCAAGCGUUGUUCGGAUUUACUGGGCGUAAAGGGCGCGUAGGCGGUCGUGACAAGUCACUUGUGAAAUCUCCGGGCUUAACUCGGAACGGUCAAGUGAUACUGUCGGACUAGAGUACAGAAGGGGCAACUGGAAUUCUCGGUGUAGCGGUGAAAAUGCGUAGAUAUCGAGAGGAACACCUGCGGCGAAGGCGGGUUGCUGGGCUGAUACUGACGCUGAGGCGCGAAAGCCAGGGGGAGCGAACGGG